CCUACGGGAGACAGCAGUAGGGAAUCUUCCACAAUGGGCGAAAGCCUGAUGGAGCAACGCCGCGUGGGUGAAGAAGGUCUUCGGAUCGUAAAACCCUGUUGUUAGAGAAGAAAGUGCGUGAGAGUAACUGUUCACGUUUCGACGGUAUCUAACCAGAAAGCCACGGCUAACUACGUGCCAGCAGCCUCGGUAAUACGUAGGUGGCAAGCGUUAUCCGGAUUUAUUGGGCGUAAAGGGAACGCAGGCGGUCUUUUAAGUCUGAUGUUAAAGCCUUCGGCUUAACCGGAGUAGUGCAUUGGAAACUGGGAGACUUGAGUGCAGAAGAGGAGAGUGGAACUCCAUGUGUAGCGGUGAAAUGCGUAGAUAUAUGGAAGAACACCAGUGGCGAAAGCGGCUCUCUGGUCUGUAACUGACGCUGAGGUUCGAAAGCGUGGGUAGCAAACAGGAUUAGAUACCCGAGUAGUC
rnacentral:rRNA from 1 species